rnacentral:rRNA from 1 species
UGGGGAAUAUUGGACAAUGGGCGAAAGCCUGACCCAGCAACGCCGCGUGAAGGAUGAAAUCUUUCGGGAUGUAAACUUCGGAAGAAUAGGAAGAAUAAAAUGACGGUACUAUUUUUAAGGUCCGGCUAACUACGUGCCAGCAGCCGCGGUAAUACGUAGGGACCAAGCGUUGUUCGGAUUUACUGGGCGUAAAGGGCGCGUAGGCGGCGUAAUAAGUCACUUGUGAAAUCUCCGGGCUUAACUCGGAGCGGCCAAGUGAUACUGUUAGGCUAGAGUGCAGAAAGGGCAAUCGGAAUUCUUGGUGUAGCGGUGAAAUGCGUAGAUAUCAAGAGGAACACCUGAGGUGAAGACGGGUUGCUGGGCCGACACUGACGCUGAGGCGCGAAAGCCAGGGGAGCAAACGGGAUUAGAUACCCCCGUAGUCCCUGAGCGGGCUGGCAAGGCGCAU